rnacentral:tRNA from 1 species
GCGGUCGUGGCGGAAUUGGCAGACGCGCUAGAUUCAGGUUCUAGUGGGCAUUGGCCUGUGGGGGUUCAAGUCCCUUCGACCGCA